rnacentral:rRNA from 1 species
GUCGGACGCCAAGCCUCUGUAAAGCUCCUUCGACGAGUCGAGUAGUUUGGGAAUGCUGCUCAAAAUGGGAGGUAUAUGUCUUCUAAAGCUAAAUACUGGCCAGAGACCGAUAGCGCACAAGUAGAGUGAUCGAAAGAUGAAAAGCACUUUGAAAAGAGAGUUAAACAGUACGUGAAAUUGUUGAAAGGGAAGCGCUUGUGACCAGACUCGGGCGCGGGGAAUCACCCGGCGUUCUCGCCGGUGCACUUCGCCGCGCCCGGGCCAGCAUCAGUUCGCGGCGGGGGACAAAGGCGCCGGGAACGUGGCUCCCCCGGGAGUGUUAUAGCCCGGCGCGCAAUGCCCCGCGGCGGACUGAGGUUCGCGCGUCCGCAAGGAUGCUGGCGUAAUGGUCACCAGUGACCCGUCUUGAAACACGGACCAAGGAGUCGUCCUCGUAUGCGAGUGUUCGGGUGCCAAACCCCUACGCGCAAUGAAAGUGAACGCAGGUGAGAGCCAGGGCGCAUCAUCGACCGAUCCUGAUGUCCUCGGAUGGAUUUGAGUAAGAGCAUACAGGGCCGGACCCUAAA